GAUGAACGCUGGCGGCGUGCCUAAUACAUGCAAGUCGAGCGAACAGACGAGGAGCUUGCUCCUCUGACGUUAGCGGCGGACGGGGGAGUAACACGUGGAUAACCUACCUAUAAGACUGGGAUAACUUCGGGAAACCGGAGCUAAUACCGGAUAAUAUAUUGAACCGCAUGGUUCAAUAGUGAAAGACGGUUUUGCUGUCUCUUAUAGAUGGAUCCGCGCCGCAUUAGCUAGUUGGUAAGGUAACGGCUUACCAAGGCGACGAUGCGUAGCCGACCUGAGAGGGUGAUCGGCCACACUGGAACUGAGACACGGUCCAGACUCCUACGGGAGGCAGCAGUAGGGAAUCUUCCGCAAUGGGCGAAAGCCUGACGGAGCAACGCCGCGUGAGUGAUGAAGGUCUUCGGAUCGUAAAACUCUGUUAUUAGGGAAGAACAAAUGUGUAAGUAACUAUGCACGUCUUGACGGUACCUAAUCAGAAAGCCACGGCUAACUACGUG
rnacentral:rRNA from 1 species